UCAGUCGACUCCUACGGGAGGCAGCAGUGGGGAAUCUUGGACAAUGGGGCGCAAGCCUGAUCCCAGCCAUGCCGCGUGAGUGAAGAAGGCCCUAGGGUCGUAAAACUCUUUACGCCAGGGGAUGAUAAUGACAGUACCCUGGUAAAGAAACCCCGGGCUAACUCCGUGCCAGCAGCCGCGGUAAUACGGAGGGGGUUAGCGUUGUUCGGAAUUACUGGGCGUAAAGCGUACGUAGGCGGAUUAGUCAGUCAGAGGUGAAAUCCCAGGGCUCAACCCUGGAACUGCCUUUGAUACUGCUAGUCUUGAGUUCGAGAGAGGUGAGUGGAAUUCCAAGUGUAGAGGUGAAAUUCGUAGAUAUUUGGAGGAACACCAGUGGCGAAGGCGGCUCACUGGCUCGAUACUGACGCUGAGGUACGAAAGUGUGGGGAGCAAACAGGAUUAGAUACCCUGGUAG
rnacentral:rRNA from 1 species